GUCUUCAAUUUCUAUUGGGUUUUGGCUAUUCAUAAAAGUUAUCUACUUACUAAAAAAAAAUCCAUAUGUACAGUUAGCUCAAGAAGCUAGCCCAUUGUGUUACAUAAUAUAUGUUACUAAAAAUAUUUAAGACUGAGUUGCUGAUUUGAUUAUAUAGAUAUUUCUCCACAAUAUGGUGAAAGCAAUCUUUGAAUUUGUAGCAUUCUGAUACUAAUGGAUUUCAAGAUCAAUAUAAAUAAUA